AUUGAACGCUGGCGGCAGGCUUAACACAUGCAAGUCGAACGAUGAAACUCUAGCUUGCUAGAGAAGAUUAGUGGCGGACGGGUGAGUAACAUUUAGGAAUCUGCCUAGUAGUGGGGGAUAGCUCGGGGAAACUCGAAUUAAUACCGCAUACGACCUACGGGUGAAAGGGGGCGCAAGCUCUUGCUAUUAGAUGAGCCUAAAUCAGAUUAGCUAGUUGGUGGGGUAAAGGCCUACCAAGGCGACGAUCUGUAACUGGUCUGAGAGGAUGAUCAGUCACACCGGAACUGAGACACGGUCCGGACUCCUACGGGAGGCAGCAGUGGGGAAUAUUGGACAAUGGGGGCAACCCUGAUCCAGCCAUGCCGCGUGUGUGAAGAAGGCCUUUUGGUUGUAAAGCACUUUAAGCAGGGAGGAGAGGCUAAUGGUUAAUACCCAUUAGAUUAGACGUUACCUGCAGAAUAAGCACCGGCUAACUCUGUGCCAGCAGCCGCGGUAAUACAGAGGGUGCGAGCGUUAAUCGGAAUUACUGGGCGUAAAGCGAGGGUAGGUGGCUCAUUAAGUCACAUGUGAAAUCCCCCGGGCUUAACCUGGGAACUGCAUGUGAUACUGGUGGUGCUAGAAUAUGUGAGAGGGAAGUAGAAUUCCAGGUGUAGCGGUGAAAUGCGUAGAGAUCUGGAGGAAUACCGAUGGCGAAGGCAGCUUCCUGGCAUAAUAUUGACACUGAGAUUCGAAAGCGUGGGUAGCAAACAGGAUUAGAUACCCUGGUAGUCCACGCCGUAAACGAUGUCUACUAGCCGUUGGGGUCCUUGAGACUUUAGUGGCGCAGUUAACGCGAUAAGUAGACCGCCUGGGGAGUACGGCCGCAAGGUUAAAACUCAAAUGAAUUGACGGGGGCCCGCACAAGCGGUGGAGCAUGUGGUUUAAUUCGAUGCAACGCGAAGAACCUUACCUGGUCUUGACAUAGUGAGAAUCCUGCAGAGAUGCGGGAGUGCCUUCGGGAACUCACAUACAGGUGCUGCAUGGCUGUCGUCAGCUCGUGUCGUGAGAUGUUGGGUUAAGUCCCGCAACGAGCGCAACCCUUUUCCUUAUUUGCCAGCGGGUUAAGCCGGGAACUUUAAGGAUACUGCUAGUGACAAACUGGAGGAAGGCGGGGACGACGUCAAGUCAUCAUGGCCCUUACGACCAGGGCUACACACGUGCUACAAUGGUAGGUACAGAGGGUUGCUACACAGCGAUGUGAUGCUAAUCUCAAAAAGCCUAUCGUAGUCCGGAUUGGAGUCUGCAACUCGACUCCAUGAAGUCGGAAUCGCUAGUAAUCGCAGAUCAGAAUGCUGCGGUGAAUACGUUCCCGGGCCU
rnacentral:rRNA from 1 species